rnacentral:rRNA from 1 species
GAUGAACGCUGGCGGCGUGCCUAAUACAUGCAAGUCGAGCGAACGGAUGAGAAGCUUGCUUCUCCGAUGUUAGCGGCGGACGGGUGAGUAACACGUGGAUAACCUACCUAUAAGACUGGGAUAACUUCGGGAAACCGGAGCUAAUACCGGAUAAUAUUUUGAACCGCAUGGUUCAAAAGUGAAAGACGGUCUUGCUGUCACUUAUAGAUGGAUCCGCGCUGCAUUAGCUAGUUGGUAAGGUAACGGCUUACCAAGGCAACGAUGCAUAGCCGACCUGAGAGGGUGAUCGGCCACACUGGAACUGAGACACGGUCCAGACUCCUACGGGAGGCAGCAGUAGGGAAUCUUCCGCAAUGGGCGAAAGCCUGACGGAGCAACGCCGCGUGAGUGAUGAUGGUCUUCGGAUCGUAAAACUCUGUUAUUAGGGAAGAACAUAUGUGUAAGUAACUGUGCACAUCUUGACGGUACCUAAUCAGAAAGCCACGGCUAACUACGUG